rnacentral:rRNA from 1 species
CAAUAGCGUAUAUUAAAGUUGUUGCGGUUAAAAAGCUCGUAGCUGGAUUUCUGCUGAGAACGACCGGUCCGCCCUUUGGGUGUGUAUCUGGCUCUUUCUUGGCAUCUUCUUGGUGAACGUUGCUGCACUUGACUGUGUGGAGCGCUACCCAGGACUUUUACUUUGAGGAAAUUAGAGUGUUUCAAGCAGGCAUACGCCUUGAAUACAUUAGCAUGGAAUAAUAAGAUAGGACCUCGGUUCUAUUUUGUUGGUUUCUAGAGCUGAGGUAAUGAUUAAUAGGGAUAGUUGGGGGCAUUCGUAUUUAACUGUCAGAGGUGAAAUUCUUGGAUUCGUUAAAGACGGACUACUGCGAAAGCAUUUGCCAAGGAUGUUUUCAUUGA